GUAGGCGCGCUGCACCCUGGGACUUGCGGUCCUCCGAGGUCGCCAGUGGUUGCUGGGAUCCCACCUCCCCCUUUCCUCGGCGCCCUACAGUCAACCCUGUCUCGGUGGGCUGCGGAGUCCCGGGAAACCCGUCAGCUGUUUAUCUCUCUUCCUCAGAAAGUUGUUUCCCAGAGAGCUGGCUGAAUGAGGCGCACUGUCCCCAUGUCAGUGCUGCUGCGUUAGGGAAUAGUGUUGGAGUAGUCGUCUACCCUCAGGGAAAUUCCAAAACACAGUAACAGCAAAAUGAAUUGAGCCUUUGAAGGCAUUGCGCUAAGGUUUUUACUCGCAAUCAUCUCAUGCACUCUUCUCAACUCUGAUAGAAUCUGCAAUCCAACAUUGGUUUCAUCCUGGAUCCUCUUUGGCAGCCUUGGUAAUGAAGUUAGCUAAAUCAAUACAUGAAAUGAAAGAGGAGAAGACAGACAUAGAAGACUAGGCCACAUGAAGACUAAGGCAGAGAUUGGAUUUAUGCAGCUACAUACAAGGAAA